UUUUCGGGCCCUUCUGCCUUAUUUUUCUCCCUCUCUGCCUCCACUAUACUCUCUCUUCCUCUCUUAAAAAUUGAACUUCCACCGCUGCCUCCCCACCGGCCGGCGACGCCCAACGCUCACCGCCCCCUUCAUCUCCCCCGGGUUCGCUCCUGUCUCACCCCGACGAGCCUCGACGGACGUGACUACCGGCAGGCUGCCCGUCAAACCCCAGUUGUGUCAUCGCCACAUCAGCACCGGCGAAUCAGCCGAGCCACCACCGCCGAAACAGCCCCCUCUCUCGUCGCAGCUGCUCAACCAUGCAUCCACCGCUCCGCCAUCCCUUCCCCUCAUUUUCGUCUCUUAUCCUACCAAAUGACAACAACGGGAAACCCUUCUACCGACUCGCCGCCGCUUGCUCCGGUCAAGUGUUGC
rnacentral:lncRNA from 1 species